UGUCCAGCAACUCCUAUCCCUACCUCCUCGCGGUACUGGCCGGGGUACGCGUAACCUUGGGGAAGA
rnacentral:ribozyme from 1 species